ACUUGCAAGUGACAUUAAUUAGAACCCAUCCCUUUAAUGGACACUUCAGUUCCGUAGUUGUAGUCUGUUGUUUAGUGACUUGCCUUACUUUCGUACAGUCCCUCCCUUCAGUGUUUCCUCCAAGUCAGUGCUACUGAUUGUUGCUCAGACAGUGCCUUGCCUACUUUUGUCUAGCAGGCUGGUAGGAAAUAAGUUGAAUUUUACAUGUAUGCUUUUGGCAUGCCUGCUUGUUUCUAGGCAAUGCAGCUCUCCACUGUCUGUGCCAGAUUCUGUACUCUCAAACAAUACAGUUAUUAUGCUUCAUCUGCUGAAGUAAAAUGUUGGCAUGAUUUUCUGGUGUCUCAAUGGUGCUGUCCUCAUACUCUCUGUGUGACUGUGCUUUGUUGUGAAAGCAAACCCUUAUUCCAUGGUAUCCAGAGCUGUAGACUCUCACACCAACAUCUCACAGAUGUGAAGGCCAACAGAUAUACACAGAAUCUGCAGAAAAACAGAUCCUGUCUGCCUUCUUAGCAAUGUUGUCACCCUUGUCUGUAGCAGACUUCAGAUCUGUAAGUACAAAAGACCAAAAGCUUUUUUGAGGUUAAAGUACAAGAGAAACACUGAGUCUUCAUGAGAUCUUAAAAAACAAAAAGUGUUGAGGGAUGGUCUUUUUGACAAAAUUGCUGUGCAGUGCAGCCACACAGAACUGGGGGAACAUUUUCUUUUAAUCCUAUAUCAGAUAGUUUGUAUGCUCUUGAGUUACCUAGUUAAUUAGAAGCUUCUGAAGUGAGUCCAGCUUAUGUUGGUUGAUUCUUGACAAAAUCCAGUGACAAACCCUGACUUUUGAAAAUUAUACUUAAUCAAUUUCUCCAUAGCUCCAAGAAAAAAAUUAAUGAGCAGGAGGUGGGUGCUUAUAAUAUAUGGUGUUUUUUCUCUGGAGGCAGUGACAGGACCUGAGAGAACUGGCAUGAAACUGUGACAGAGGAUGUUCGUAUUGGGAAAAGCUUCUUCCUGGAGAGGGUGGUUGGGUACUGGAGCAGGUUACCCAGUGAGGUCAUUGUAGCACUGAGCUUGCUGUAGUUUGAGAAGCAUCUGGACAAUGCUCUCAGUCACAUGGUCUGAUUUUUGGGUGAUCUUACUUGGAGCUAGGAGUUGGACUUGAUGAUUCUUAUCGAUCCCUUCUAACUCAGGAUAUUCUAUGAUUCUAUGAUUUUUAGAAUUAGAAGAGAGUUACCUAAAUCUCAGCAGCAUUUACCUCAGCUGCCCUAGUGUGUGUAUCAGUUUGUUGUUUAAUGAAGUCUCAUGGUUGAAUGUAAACACUAUUUAGAAACCUGUCUGUGUUCUCUCCAAUCCCCUCAGGCUUGCUGUCAUCCGGGAUCAAGUGGUUUUUGCUGUUCAGCAGGAGUACGUGCUUCUUGGAGAUCAGCUUCUGGUCCUGCAGACAGGAGACGAAGUUGCCAUCAUCCCGCCAAUUAGUGGAGGCUGAACCUGUGCAAGCUCUGUUAGAUCCUGAGAUCUGGUGUGCAGUUAUCCCCGUCUACAUCUGGUACUCUUUGGAGAGAGCAUAAGUUGUGUUUCCUGCUGGAGAGAAUUGUUGUGCUGACCAGAAAUUAUAAGCUGUUGCUUGAAUAAACGAUUAGCGCACAUAAGUAAAUGGAAUCAAAUUGACAAUGAGCCCUUCUAGGGAGCCAUGGAUGAAAGAGAGGAUGUGCCAAAAGAUUUUAUCAAGCUCAAGUCUGAAAAGCUGUCUGUAGAUGAAGUGUCAGAACUGGUCAUUUCACCAUGCUGUGGGGCAGUGUCUCUGUUCAUUGGUACUACGAGAAAUAAUUUUGAAGGGAAAAAAGUGGUUCGCUUAGAGUAUGAAGCAUAUACUUCAAUGGCAGAGAUGGAAAUAAAGAAAAUCUGCAGAGAUGUUAGACAGAAGUGGCCAUCAGUCAGACAUAUUGCAAUGCAUCACAGACUUGGAGUGGUUCCAGUAACAGAGGCAAGUGUAAUGAUUGCAGUCUCAUCGCCACACAGAGCAGAAUCCCUUGAAGCUGUAACAUACUGCAUCAACACUUUAAAAGCGUUUGUCCCAAUAUGGAAAAAGAUUUGUUUCCUUAAGUGACUUCAGCAUAGAUGAGGCCUUCUAAAUGUAAUGUGUUCAGCUCCAGGUUCAGCAUCUGCCUACAUGAGAUUUAUGAAGAUGAGUAUUCUUGGAAAGAAAACAAGGAAUGCUUUUGGACAAAUUCAGAAAAAUGACUGUACUCUUAUAAAUAAAGUGUUAUUGCACCUAAUGAGCAUUCUGCUUUAGCUUUGAGUUGUUCUUACAUAAAAUCUAUAUGAUUUUAAGUAGUUGUAAUGGGCAUUUCAGUCUCAAUAAUAUAUUUAGGACUGUAUGACAUUAAUGAGCAAUAGCUGGGAUUUUCAAGUCCUUUGAAAUAAUCUUUCUGUAGUUUUUAACAUGGAGUCAGUUAUUAAAACUAUCUUUCCUAAGA